CGUGUAGGCGGCUUGAUAAGUCAGAGGUGAAAUCCUGGAGCUCAACUCCAGAACUGCCUUUGAUACUGAGGAUCUUGAGUUCGGGAGAGGUGAGUGGAACUGCGAGUGUAGAGGUGAAAUUCGUAGAUAUUCGCAAGAACACCAGUGGCGAAGGCGGCUCACUGGCCCGAUACUGACGCUGAGGCACGAAAGCGUGGGAGCAAACA
rnacentral:rRNA from 1 species